rnacentral:lncRNA from 1 species
AUUGCAGUAAUGCACCAUCUGAACUUAUCGAGUAACAACAUAUAAUAAGAAGUAUGCAUUAAGGGGUCGAAGUACGCACUGGGGGCUGGAUAUCGCUAUCGAGUUCAACUCAUAAAGGCGAAGCUUAAGCGACCCCCAAUUUUUCCACUGUUCUGUCUUU